rnacentral:tRNA from 3 species
GGAGAGGUGUCCGAGUGGUUUAAGGAGCUAGUCUUGAAAACUAGUGAUCCCGAAAGGGACCAAGGGUUCGAAUCCCUUCCUCUCCGCCA